UACGUAGGGAGCAAGCGUUAUCCGGAAUUAUUGGGUGUAAAGGGUGCGUAGACGGGAUAGCAAGUUAGUUGUGAAAUCCCCCGGCUCAACUGGGGAAUUGCAACUAAAACUAUUAUUCUUGAGUGCAGGAGAGGAAAGUGGAAUUCCUAGUGUAGCGGUGAAAUGCGUAGAUAUUAGGAAGAACAUCGGUGGCGAAGGCGACUUUCUGGACUGUAACUGACGUUGAGGCACGAAAGUGUGGGGAGCAAAC
rnacentral:rRNA from 1 species